UAGCUCUUGCUGGAGAAGCAGGGCACGUGCAAUCACUGUCGUUCUUUCUUGAUCUUGACAUUGCACGUGCUCCCCUUCUCCAACAUGGGUUU
rnacentral:pre_miRNA from 1 species